rnacentral:rRNA from 1 species
AUUGAACGCUGGCGGAAUGCUUUACACAUGCAAGUCGAACGGCAGCACGGGGCAACCUGGUGGCGAGUGGCGAACGGGUGAGUAAUACAUCGGAACGUGCCCAAUCGUGGGGGAUAACGUAGCGAAAGUUACGCUAAUACCGCAUACGAUCUACGGAUGAAAGCGGGGGAUCGCAAGACCUCGCGCGAAUGGAGCGGCCGAUGUCAGAUUAGGUAGUUGGUGGGGUAAAGGCUCACCAAGCCAACGAUCUGUAGCUGGUCUGAGAGGACGACCAGCCACACUGGAACUGAGACACGGUCCAGACUCCUACGGGAGGCAGCAGUGGGGAAUUUUGGACAAUGGGCGCAAGCCUGAUCCAGCCAUUCCGCGUGCAGGAUGAAGGCCUUCGGUUGUAAACUGCUUUUGUACGGUAACGAAACGGUACUGCCCUAACUACGGCGGGCGUAAUGACGGUACCGUAAGAAUAAGCACCGGCUAACUACGUGCCAGCAGCCGCGGUAAACGUCUAC